UACAUGGGGUGCAAACGUUGCUCGGAAUUACUGGGCGUAAAGCGCGCGUAGGCGGCUUUGUAAGUUAGAGGUGAAAGCCCAGGGCUCAACCCUGGAAUUGCCUUUAAGACUGCAUCGCUUGAACAUCGGAGAGGUAAGUGGAAUUCCGAGUGUAGAGGUGAAAUUCGUAGAUAUUCGGAAGAACACCAGUGGCGAAGGCGACUUACUGGACGAUUGUUGACGCUGAGGUGCGAAAGCGUGGGGAGCAAACAGG
rnacentral:rRNA from 1 species